AACGAACGCUGGCGGCAGGCUUAACACAUGCAAGUCGAGCGCCCUGCAAGGGGAGCGGCAGACGGGUGAGUAACGCGUGGGAAUCUACCCAUCUCUACGGAAUAACGCAUGGAAACGUGUGCUAAUACCGUAUACGUCCUUCGGGAGAAAGAUUUAUCGGAGAUGGAUGAGCCCGCGUUGGAUUAGCUAGUUGGUGGUGUAAAGGCCUACCAAGGCGACGAUCCAUAGCUGGUCUGAGAGGAUGAUCAGCCACACUGGGACUGAGACACGGCCCAGACUCCUACGGGAGGCAGCAGUGGGGAAUAUUGGACAAUGGGCGCAAGCCUGAUCCAGCCAUGCCGCGUGAGUGAUGAAGGCCCUAGGGUUGUAAAGCUCUUUCACCGGUGAAGAUAAUGACGGUAACUGGAGAAGAAGCCCCGGCUAACUUCGUGCCAGCCGCCGCGGUAACAC
rnacentral:rRNA from 1 species